CCUACGGGGGGCUGCAGUGGGGAAUAUUGGACAAUGGGCGAAAGCCUGAUCCAGCCAUGCCGCGUGUGUGAAGAAGGCCUUCGGGUUGUAAAGCACUUUCAGUGGGGAAGAAAGCCUUGGGGCUAAUACCCUCGAGGAAGGACAUCACCCACAGAAGCAGCACCGGCUAACUCCGUGCCAGCAGCCGCGGUAAUACGGAGGGUGCGAGCGUUAAUCGGAAUUACUGGGCGUAAAGCGCGCGUAGGCGGUCUGAUAAGCCGGUUGUGAAAGCCCCGGGCUCAACCUGGGAACGGCAUCCGGAACUGUCAGGCUAGAGUGCAGGAGAGGAAGGUAGAAUUCCCGGUGUAGCGGUGAAAUGCGUAGAGAUCGGGAGGAAUACCAGUGGCGAAGGCGGCCUUCUGGACUGACACUGACGCUGAGGUGCGAAAGCGUGGGUAGCAAACAGGAUUAGAUACCCGAGUAGUC
rnacentral:rRNA from 1 species